rnacentral:lncRNA from 1 species
UGUGGACUUUCCCUUGCAGGUGCUCGUUCCCGGCGAUCAGGCGACGAGGGGAUUGGGCGCAAUAGGUUUGGUGCACCAGGAAGGGGGGGCCGGCACACAACCUCCACAGAGUUUGAAGAACCUUUUCGAGAUGACGAGGACCAGGGCUCAGCAAUCGAGAGCCACCGGAUCGGCGAGACGAUCUUUCCGUCGGGGAGAGACUUCUCCACCACUCUCCGCCGCAGAGCCUAGCUCUCCCCAUCCUGUGGUGACCAUGGAGGCGCAGAUUGCAGCGAUCGUGCGGCAGAUGAU